UGGGGUGUCGCCAAGCGGUAAGGCAUUGGACUCUGACUCCAACAUUGCGUAGGUUCGAAUCCUACCACCCCAGCCA
rnacentral:tRNA from 2 species